rnacentral:lncRNA from 1 species
AAAGUUGGUGCUGUGAGACUUGAUUGCGAUAUAUAAUAUAGAAAAUUUAAAUCAAAAAUUAUAAUAAAUUAAAGUUUGAGAAUUAAAAUGUCACACACGACGUAUAGUUCGAGGACCAAAAGUGCAAACUACAUGCAUGCAUGUACAUACAUGCUCACAAUAUUCUUUUUGAAUGUCAAAUAAUUGAGUACAUAUGAUUCUAUGGCUUGAGUUUAUAGCUUAAGAUGGGUCCCUUAUCAUCAUUUCCAUCUAUCAAAACCCCUAACUAUUAUCCUACACACAUUUAGAACAUUAGGGGCAUUGCAAAAUUCUCCACAUGUAUGAUUAAUUAUUCAAUCAUCGAUCCUGGUGGGAUUCAAACUCAGAAAUAUCCCUUUUUUUGUACCACGUGAAAUAAUCGAUUACUCUAAAAGCAAAUUAAUUGCUUGAGAUGGUGUUUUUGACCGUUCACAUACACCGAGCAACACGUACACGGAAAAAAAAGAAAGAAAUUGAAUGAGGACCACCUCAUUUUUCACAGGGUAUACGAGAUUACUAAAUAGCCCGUCACGCCAUCUGAGCGAGAUCUCGUUAAGGCGCUCCUCAGAGAAGUCGUGCUCCGAGUGUAGAACUAUUACUCCCGUCAUAUAUCAUGACUACAGUACAUGUACGAUUAAUUAUCCAAUCAUCAAGUGAGAUUCAAACUCGGAAAUAUCCCCUAUUUUUGUACCACGUGAAAUAAUCGAUUACUCUAAAAGCAAAUUAAUUGCUUGAGAUGGUGUUUUUGAUCGUUCACAUACACCGAGCAACAUGUACACGGGAAAAAAAGAAAGAAAUUGAAUGAGGACCACCUCAUUUUUCACAGGGUAUACAAGAUUACUGAAUAGCCCGUCACACCAUCUGAGCGAGAUCUCGUUAAGACGCUCCUCAGCGAAGUCGCGCUCCCAUCAUAUAUGGAUACAGUACAUAACCAGGUGCCUUGGAUCCUCUUUUAACAAAGAGAAGGGCAGACAGUACUAGUGGCUUGCUAAAAGUGAUGCUAUUCUGGUCUGUCAUCUCUGAAACAAGGCUGGACAGAUUAGGGCCCUGCUCAAGGAAUAUAACUACUCAUGCAUGCCAUGGGUCCCCAUCUUUUCAAUUAUUACAAUUCGGUCCCUAACCUUCGCUUUUUUAUUAAAUGGAAAUGGCCUUAUAUUAUACAUACAUGAAAAUAGUGUUUUUAUGUUAUGUUUACUGUCUCUCUCAUGUUUGGACUCAAAACUUGUCACAAUAAGCAUAAGACGCGGGCUUAAAUUGAAAUGAGAGAAAAUUAAAUUAGAUCAGAAGUUUUUAACUCUAUCGUACGAAAUAAUUAUUUUUAGCAUUUUAAUCUGUUUAAAUAAAAAAUUAAUUCGCUUCAAAAAAGAGAGGGAGAAAAUUCUCAUCCUUUCUUAGCAUCUGAUAAUAAUAGAAGAUGCUGCAUAUAUAUCUUAUUAUUAAUUUCUAUAAAAGAUUGUGAACAUUUGAAGAUGACAAUUUCCUUUCUUAUUCUUUCAAUCCAAAACAAUCAAAAAGAUCAGAGAAUUUUACUGUUAUGGAGGCUUCUUACACAUUCAGUGAAAUGAAACCUUAUUUAAUCCUGCAUGUUUUUCUCCAUGUAUGAAGCUUCAAACAUGAUGUAAAAGAAAACAAAAAGAAAUAUUCAUUGUUUGCUGCUUUUUAUAGGGGGGAAAAAUGGUCAAAAAAACUUCACAGUUUGAGCAAUUGGGACUUGGUUAUAAUUUUGAAAGAUAUAAUUCCCAGAUCCUCAUAUGUGUAUGAACACUUAAAAUUACAAAUCUAUUUUUUUUAAGAAAAAGAAGGGGAAAAAAAAAAGCCAUUGAGUUGGUGGUUUCAGAGUCCACCAAGUACCAACUACCCUCAUUUAUUAUGCAUUUACACAACAACACAAAUAGUGAAACAGUGAAUUAAAACACAAGCACACACUUUUCCUACUUCCUUAUUAAAUUCUUUCUUUAGAUCUCUCAAAUAAUAAAAAAAAUAAAAAAAAAAGUUGACUAUCCAUAUUCACAUCUACAAAAGUGAAUGAUCACAAGUACUACAACAUCAAAAUAAAAAAAAAAAACCCACAAAAACAAAUAAUAAUACAAGCAAUCAAAAUGCUACACGUACAUCCCAAAUAGGGGUGUACAGCUUACACUCUUGCAUCUAAGGAUUUAUAAAACUCUUUUAAAUUUUUAGCAAAAUAACAAUAAUAAUAAGACUAGCGGAUGAAUCCUAGCCAUUGAAACCCCAGGGUGCACAUCUUACACCUAAGUUAUAGGUGUACAUGUAGCAUUACUCUUUACAAAAUAUAUUUAAUUAGGUUUUUGCAUUUGACUACCUAUUGGAAUCUGGGUUUGGGCCACUUGGAACUUCAUGCUUGCUUGCAUUGAACUUGGUUGAAGAGUUUGAUACCUUCUUUGGAGCCAACUUCAUGGAUUGUGAUGUAGAAGAUGAAGAAGAAGAAGAAGAAGAAGAUGAUGAUGAUGAUGAUGAUGAUGGAGUUGAGAACACAAGUUGUUGGGAUUUAUGAGCAAAUGGGAGCAAAAUGAGGCAAAGGAGAACACCAUGAAGCAGCACAUUUGCCAUGAACUCUAUUUUGUAGUGCAAAAGGGUUUAGUCAAUGUCCAUGAAAGAGUAUUGAGGAGAAAAGAGGGGUUGCUUGGGAAAAAUGUUAGGGCACAUGAUAUUGGAUAGGGGAGAGGUAAAAGGCCAAUACUUUGAUGACUAGGGUGUUGUCAUGUGGUAAAGAGGACAUUGAAUAGGGGUGGAGGAAGUUACAUGAGUGCCCUCCCAUUGGAUAGGAGCUUGGUUGUUAAGGCUCAUUAAUUAUGUCCACAUUAAUUUGUACUCUUUCAUGGAUUGGUGGUGUAGUAAUUGUGAGAGAGAUUUUUUUGGGGUAAAACAUGGUGAAACCCUCACUACCAUUGGAAUUUC